GGCGAUAAUGACUCGGUGCUGGGUGAUCAUCUUGUUGGAAAUCAUCUGUAUCUUAACUAUCAGGGGAAGGGUGAGCAUAGUUGCGGGGUGGGGGGUGAGUAUUAGAUUGAGAGGGUUGGUAGACAUCUUGGGCAUAUUCCUGAGGAGGGUAAUACGAUGCAUGUGCCUGAGGAUAUACCUGAGGAGGUUAACCUGGUUGGAGACCACCAAACGUGGCCGCAGGGGCAUUGGGGUACA